GACGAACGCUGGCGGCGUGCCUAAUACAUGCAAGUCGAACGCUGGAAAUCUAGCUUGCUAGAUUGAAGGAGUGGCGAACGGGUGAGUAAUACAUAAGCAACCUACCCACGAAGACUGGGAUAAUCUCUGGAAACGGGGACUAAUACCGGAUAGGUAAUCGGAAGGCAUCUUCUGAUUAUUAAAGGUUAAAAACACUGGUGGAUGGGCUUAUGGCGCAUUAGUUAGUUGGUGAGGUAACGGCCCACCAAGACGAUGAUGCGUAGCCGGCCUGAGAGGGUGAACGGCCACAUUGGGACUGAGACACGGCCCAGACUCCUACGGGAGGCAGCAGUAGGGAAUUUUCGGCAAUGGGGGAAACCCUGACCGAGCAACGCCGCGUGAGUGAUGACGGCCUUCGGGUUGUAAAGCUCUGUUGUAAGGGAAGAACGGUAGAUAGAGAAUAUCUAAAUGACGGUACCUUACCAGAAAGCCACGGCUAACUACGUG
rnacentral:rRNA from 1 species